GCAACGCGAAGAACCUUACCAGGUCUUGACAUCCCGCUGACCGGUGUAGAGAUACACCUUUCCGUUCGGGGAUAGCGGUGACAGGUGGUGCAUGGUUGUCGUCAGCUCGUGUCGUGAGAUGUUGGGUUAAGUCCCGCAACGAGAGCAACCCUUGAUCUUAGUUGCCAGCAUUCAGUUGGGCACUCUAAGGUGACGGCCGGUGACAAACCGGAGGAAGGUGGGGAUGACGUCAAAUCAUCAUGCCCAUUAUGACCUGGGCUACACACGUGCUACAAUGGACGGUACAAAGGGCUGCAAACCCGCGAGGGGGAGCCAAUCCCAUAAAACCGUUCCCAGUUCGGAUUGCAGGCUGCAACUCGCCUGCAUGAAGCCGGAAUCGCUAGUAAUCGUGGAUCAGCAUGCCACGGUGAAUACGUUCCCGGGUCUUGUACACACCGCCCGUCACACCACGAGAGUUUGUAACACCCGAAGUCGGUGGGGUAACCCUUACGGGAGCCAGCCGCCGAAGGUGGGACAGAUGAUUGGGGUGAAGUCGUAACAAGGUAGCCGUAUCGGAAGGUGCGGCUGGAUCA
rnacentral:rRNA from 1 species